AGGGUGGAAAUAACUGAUGGAAUGUACAACAACUUAUCAACAAGAGUAAAUCUACAAAGCAAAAACUAUAUGAAUACGAAGAAGAACAGCAACAAGGCAAACUGCUCCCUGAAGUGAUGUUAAAACUAUAUCUUUGCACCUAGACAUGUAGCAAGAAACAAUUUAGAUGAUCAAGGAACAGGUAAAAAAGAGAUAUAGUCUUGUUAUCCUAGCUAGAGGAAUCAGUCGAAUCACAAGUUAAGAAAUCAAAUGGUAAAAUGCAAGAUUAAGAGAUAUUGAACAGGAUAAUACCCAAUAACUUUAUCUAGCAAUCACUAAACUGUUGUCAUAGCAUUAGAAUACAUGCACCCAAAUGGAAGCUACCAGGGAACAAUGACAGAAGAACCCCCUUACAAACAUGACAUCGCAAAUUCAACAAUCUAAGAGAAAAAUCCAGACAUACAGAAGUCCUCGAGUCGUUGGGAGUCGUGAAAUUUUAGCACUGCUGCUAUCGGCAAACUUUGCAGAAUUGGGCAGUGAGGAAGCGGAAUCGGGCGGUGAGGUUAACGGAGGUGAGGGGGAAGCGGGCGCCGAGGUGAGGAGGAAUCGGGAGGUGAGGUUAGCAGAGGCGGUGGAGGAGUUCAAGGAGAACUUCGGCAGAGUGGGAUUGAGGUUUGGCUGGAUUGGGAUUUGGGGUUCAUACUACUUCAGUGCUUCGCGUUUUGGGAUGAAAGAGAGAGGAACUGAAAAUGAGAUGAGAUGAGAUGAAUUAGUAUUAGGGUUAAAAAUGAAAGGUUAAGAUCAAAACAUCUAAAAAAAUCAAUGGCUCAGAUUAGUCUAUGGGGGGUGUAUUGUAUUUAGAUUCAUACAGACUUAUUUUAAUCAACUGACUUUUUGAAAAGUCUACAGACUCUUUGAAAAGUUCAUAGACUUUCACUGAUUUCUUAAAACCAUCGAUUUUUAAUUACAGACUUUCACUGAUUUCUGAAAUCUACAGAUUUCAUAUGAAUGACUUAUGUAGAUUUCUCAAUACUUACAGAGUUACAUGAAAGAAAAAAUAAAAAAUAAAAAAUAAAGAUGCAAUGACAAACACAUAAUGACACCGAUUAUAAGUUUAGGGUUCAUCUAUCUAAUUUCGAUGCAUACAGUUGUAAUAUUUGAUUGAAAUACAUAAACAUAAGUAACAAAAAAGAUUAUAUUAACUUAACAACACGCAUACUUGUACGUAAACCAAAGACAUAUGUUUU
rnacentral:lncRNA from 1 species